rnacentral:tRNA from 1 species
GGACGGGUGGUCGAGUGGUUGAAGGCACCGCACUCGAAAUGCGGCGUACCCGCAAGGGUACCGUGAGUUCGAAUCUCACCCCGUCCG